AUGGCAACCCUUCGAGUCAACGAUAUUCAUAAAAUUCUCCGCGAACGUAUUGAACAAUAUAAUAGGAAAGUAGGGAUUGAGAAUAUAGGUCGCGUAGUUCAAGUGGGGGAUGGGAUUGCUCGUAUUAUAGGUCUUGGUGAAAUAAUGUCAGGUGAAUUACUCGAAUUUGCAGAAGGUACUAGGGGUAUUGCUCUGAAUUUGGAAUCCAAAAAUGUUGGGAUUGUAUUAAUGGGCGAUGGGUUGAUGAUACAAGAGGGAAGUUUUGUAAAAGCAACAGGAAGAAUUGCUCAGAUACCCGUGAGUGAGGCUUACUUGGGUCGUGUUGUAAAUGCUCUGGCUAAACCUAUUGAUGGGAAAGGCGAAAUUAUAGCUUCCGAAUCUCGCUUAAUUGAAUCUCCUGCUCCAAGUAUAAUUUCCAGGCGUUCCGUAUACGAACCUCUUCAAACAGGGCUUAUUGCUAUCGAUUCGAUGAUCCCUAUAGGGCGCGGUCAGCGAGAGUUAAUUAUUGGGGACAGACAGACUAGCAAAACAACAGUAGCCACAGAUACAAUUCUCAAUCAAAAAGGCCAAGGUGUAAUAUGUGUUUAUGUAGCUAUCGGUCAAAGAGCAUCCUCCGUAGCUCAAGUAGUAACUACUUUCCACGAGGAGGGGGCUAUGGAAUACACUAUUGUAGUAGCUGAAAUGGCGGAUUCACCUGCUACAUUACAAUACCUUGCUCCUUAUACGGGAGCAGCCCUGGCUGAGUAUUUUAUGUACCGCGAACGGCAUACUUUCAUAAUUUAUGAUGAUCUCUCCAAACAGGCACAAGCUUAUCGCCAAAUGUCCCUUCUAUUAAGAAGACCUCCCGGCCGUGAGGCUUAUCCAGGGGAUGUUUUUUAUUUGCAUUCACGCCUUUUAGAAAGAGCCGCUAAAUUAAAUUCCCUUUUAGGCGAAGGAAGUAUGACCGCUUUACCAAUAGUUGAGACUCAAUCUGGAGACGUUUCCGCCUAUAUUCCUACUAAUGUAAUCUCCAUUACAGAUGGACAAAUAUUCUUAUCUGCGGAUCUAUUCAAUGCCGGAAUUCGACCCGCUAUUAAUGUGGGUAUUUCUGUUUCCAGAGUAGGAUCCGCGGCUCAAAUUAAAGCCAUGAAACAAGUAGCUGGCAAAUCAAAAUUGGAACUAGCGCAAUUCGCAGAGUUACAAGCCUUUGCACAAUUCGCCUCUGCUCUCGAUAAAACAAGUCAGAAUCAAUUGGCAAGGGGUCGACGAUUAAGGGAAUUGCUUAAACAAUCCCAGGCAAAUCCUCUCCCAGUGGAAGAGCAGAUAGCUACUAUUUAUACCGGAACAAGAGGAUAUCUUGAUUCGUUAGAAAUUGAACAGGUAAAUAAAUUUCUGGAUGAGUUACGUAAACAUCUAAAAGAUACUAAACCUCAAUUCCAAGAAAUUAUAUCUUCUAGCAAGACAUUCACCAAGCAAGCGGAAAUCCUUUUGAAGGAAGCUAUUCAGGAACAGCUGGAACGGUUUUCUCUUCAGUAA
rnacentral:rRNA from 1 species